AUCAGGUAAGUGAGGCAUGGGGGGAAGAGAGAGCCUAUAGAUCAGGUAAGUGAGGCUCUCCCCCCCAUGCCUCACUUACCUGAUCUAUAGGCUCUCUCUCCCCUGCCUCACUUACCUGAUC